CGCACGUCGCGUGGUGUCCG
rnacentral:snRNA from 1 species